rnacentral:tRNA from 1 species
GUGCAUAUAGCUCAGUAGGUAGAGCACCGGACCUGUCUUCUGACAGAUGUAUGCGGAGGUCGCGGGUUCGAAUCCCGUUAUGCACG